rnacentral:rRNA from 1 species
ACGCUCGACACCUACGGGAGCAGCAGUGAGGAAUAUUGGUCAAUGGGCGCAGGCCUGAACCAGCCAAGUAGCGUGAAGGAUGACUGCCCUAUGGGUUGUAAACUUCUUUUAUAUGGGAAUAAAGUUUUCCACGUGUGGAAUUUUGUAUGUACCAUAUGAAUAAGGAUCGGCUAACUCCGUGCAGCAGCCGGACGGUAAUCUGAGGCGGGCUGGACGAAGGC